CCUCCUCACGUCUUUAACCUUAAAACUUUAAAUCCCAGAACAUCCUGAAUAUAUGUCCUCUCAGGUCUUUUAUUUCAAUUUUUAUAUUGUUUUAAUAAAUUAAUUAUAUCCUAACACUUCAGAGUGACGUCAGAGGUAAUAAACACUCCAGAGUGAUGUCACAGGUGAUUAACAUUCCAGAGUGAUGUCAUAGGUAGUGCACACUUUAGGGUGAUGUCAUAGGUAGUGCACACUCUACAGUGAUGUCAUACAUAAUAAACACUCCAGAGUGAUGUCCCUGGUAGUGCACACUCCAGAGUGAUGUCAUAGGUAGUGCACACUUCAGAGUGAUGUCACAGGUAGUGCACACUCCAGAGUGAUGUCAUAGGUAGUGCACACUCCAGAGUGAUGUCAUAGGUAGUGCACACUUCAGAGUGAUGUCAUAGGUGAUUAACACUCCAGAGUGAUGUCACAGGUAGUGCACACUUCAGAGUGAUGUGGGAGUAUAAGAUCAUACCCUCUGAUGUCAGACUGCACAGACACUUCAUUGUUUUCUUCAUACUCACCAACAGUUGUGUGAUUUUGGGGUUCGCUCACAUUUUGUCAGGAUAUUUUGUUAUUAGUGAUUCAUGUUGUGUAGCGGUCCAUCUGUGACACUGAUCAUCAGGAGUUUAACAACACUUCCCUCUGAACGGUCAUGAGGAUUGAAUAAGUUAUUUUUAAAACCACAUCUGUCUUUAUAACUGUCUCUUUGAUCGUGUAAAUGAAUUAUUUAUGGUCACUGAGACGAUCUGAAGGUCUGAUCUUCAUCCUCUGGACUUUCUCAAGAAAAACUCAAUAAUUUUGAAGAUGUUGAUGUAUUUUUACAUAUUGAUCUAAAAACUGUGACAGGAUUGGUUGAUUUCUUGGUGUGUGUUUACAAUUGAGGACCAGCAGGAGGCGCUCCUGUCCAGUGUUUUGUGUUGGGACACCUGAUCAGCUGAUUUCUAUGAACACAGGUGCAGGUACAUGUUACCUUCAGCAGCAGAAGAACAGAUCUUCUGUUUUUGGUCAAAGUCCUGACCCCUCAGUCCUGGUAGACCUGGACCUUCUCAACACGAGGACUCUGUUAACCGACGACAGGAAAACCUUCAAACUGUCAGAGUCACCGAAUCUUCAAAACAGAGCAGGACCGAGUCAUGUGACCGCUGACGGAGAACAUCGAAGAAAACGAGGAGAAGAAUCUGAGAACGGAUUAAUCAGCUGAUCAGAGAGAGAGAGAGAGAGAGAGAGAGAGAGAGAGAGAGAGAGAGAGAGAGAGAGAGAGAGAGAGAGAGAGCAUGUGUGUGUGUUUGUUUUUAACAGCUGACUGUAAACAUAUCAGUGUCCCAUACACUCCAACACACAAACACACACAAACACACACUCACACACACACACACACACACAAACACACACACUCACACACACACACAGAUACACAC